rnacentral:lncRNA from 10 species
CUUUAAUAAAGAGACAAAUAUAUAUACACACUCAUAUACUUUGCCUCCUUACACACACAUAUAUAAAAUGAUACUAUAAUAGUCCUCAAAAGUUCUCCUAACAGGUGAUUAGUCAUUCUUUGUAAGAAGAAAAUUAGGUGCCUUGUAUGGUAUGGUUGUAACCUAAAUGCAUUUAACUUGCAAAUUCAUCUACAGGAGCUUGCACAGACAGAGGCAUAACACAUGUAAAUGGUGUGGUAAUAGCUCCUGCUGUUCCACUCAGAGUUGAGGUUGGGAGACUUGCCUCUGCGCUCCCUCCACCAUCUCAGCCCCAGACACCGCCCCAAGGGGAGCACUGGCUAUCCAGGCUUCUCUAGGGCUUAAAGUCAUACAUAUUUUUCUACCCUGUGACUCUGAAAGGUAAGCCAGUUCCUUCAUUUGGGGCAUCCCACAGAGACAGAAAUCUGUUUGAAGGGGAUGGAAAGAACUGGUUUGAACCUUCCGGACGCCAGAGGAACUGAACAUUCAACACAAAGACUUUUUUUUUCCCCUUCAAAAAUGGUCUGAGCUUGCAAACUCCCAAACACUAAACAUCUUUCAAGGAUAACUUAUUCAAUGGUAUCACUACAUGCCCCACUUGAUGUAAUAAACAUUUCCCAGGCCAUUCCUUAGCCUUUUCCUGGGUAAGGAUGUGAAGGACAGGAGUUCAGGAGAUGGGUAAGGCACAGGUAUGGUGGGUAGGAAGAGGGGCUGUCAAACCAGACUGGGCCCUAGAAAUCCUCUAGCUGAGGGAUCUCAAACUGGCACCCUGCUCGCCAAGUCUGCCUGGUCAGCAGCGCACGGUCAUCUUUAAAUGUUUGAAUUUAGUGCUUACAGGCAGGGCAGGAACUCAGGUCUCCAACUCCCAAGCCAGGGCAGGACUCUGUUUCCCCUCCAUUCUGCAGCCCUCAGGCCAUGGAAGAGUGAGUCCUGCUAGUUGAGAACGCAGAAGUGAGACAUGAUCCCUCAGUCCAUGUCACCUUGGGAAGCCUCCUCAGCCGUGGUGACACUACUCUCAAAUCUGAAUCUGAUCAGGCGGAACUCAAAGGGUUACCCUGAUCCUGCUCUGUUUACAGACCUCGAUCCCAGCUCCUUCAUUUAAUUUGGUUUUUGUUUUCCUGGUUUGUUUGCUUGUUUGUUUGAAACAGAGUCUCACUCUGUUGCCCAGGCUGGAGUGCAAUGGAGCGAUCUUGGCUCACUGAAACCUCCACCUCCUGGGUUCAAGCCAUUC